rnacentral:tRNA from 2 species
CAACAUAUAGCUUAAACAAAGCAUCUCGCUUACACCGAGAGUAUAUCUGUGAAACCCAGAUUAUUUUGA